UACGUAGGGAGCAAGCGUUGUCCGGAAUCAUUGGGCGUAAAGCGCGCGUAGGUGGCCUCAUAAGUCCGCUGUGAAAGUCAAAGGCUCAACCUUUGAAAGCCGGUGGAUACUGUGGGGCUAGAGUACGGAAGAGGCGAGUGGAAUUCCUGGUGUAGCGGUGGAAUGCGCAGAUAUCAGGAGGAACACCAAUAGCGAAGGCAGCUCGCUGGGACGUUACUGACGCUGAGGAGCGAAAGCGUGGGGAGCGAACAGG
rnacentral:rRNA from 1 species